rnacentral:rRNA from 1 species
AUUUGUUUCCAAACCUCCUUGUCAAAGCCUGAUCUCAUCCGAUCUUAGAAGCUAAGCAGGGCUGGCCCUGGUUAGUGCUUGGAUGGGAGACCACUGGGAAUACCAGGUGCCACAGUGG